GCCGGGCACGGUGGCGCGCGCCUGUAGUCCUAGCUACUCGGGAGGCUGAGGCAGGAGGAUCGCUUGAGUCCAGGAGUUCUGGGCUGCAGUGCGCUAUGCCGAUCGGGUGUCCGCACUAAGUUCGGCAUCAAUAUGGUGACCUCCCGGGAGCGGGGGACCACCAGGUUGCCUAAGGAGGGGUGAACCGGCCCAGGUCGGAGAAAGAGUAUCCUAUGUAGCUUAGACUGGCCUUGAACUUAAGAUCCUCCUGCCUCA
rnacentral:SRP_RNA from 1 species